GAAAAUUAUUCGUAUAGAUGUGUGUGGCCUAGCAAAGGCAUUGGAUUCACUUUCUUGCAUCUAUAUAUUGCUGGCUUAGGGUUGUUGGUAACGAUAAGGCAGUCCGAAAGCAAAAGAAGUUAGAGAGCAAUUUCGUAGUAAGAGAUCAGAAUGGCAUACCGAUGGCGUCAGAGGAAGCUCACGUUUGACAACGAUGGUACUUCAGACUCAUUCAACAACGUUGGCGGCGGAAACCAGAAUUUUUCCAAUGCAAAAAUCAACAGUGGAGCUAAUUCAGGCGAUCGAAACAGAAUGUGUAUUUUUGGGUAACCAACACGAAGCAGUAACAAUAGACUUAAUAAUGCAUUCUCGAGAAACUAUAUAAGGCAAUUACUUGAGAAUUUCCGAUUCGCAAUCCAGACGAUCUAAAUGACAUCUGAGACGAACUUUUGAAGAGACUUUGAUAAGAAGACUUUGAACAGAUGACUUCGAUCAAGCAGACAUUAGAAUCUAGGAUGAUGUCCUUUUUAAUUGUCAAUUCUUCCUAAUUAUAGAAUCGCAGGUUUAUUAACUGAGAUACAUACGUGAUGAUCUGGAGGCCGAGGAACAGCCCAAAAGUCCAAAGUAAUGGAAAUUCAUAAACCAACCAUGACGAGGGUUUGAGAAAAAUAUUUUAUUUCAAUCCCUGA
rnacentral:sRNA from 1 species